AUACCCCACCCGCGAAAGCCCCGGGAGCCAUUACGGCACCAGCGAUAGGGGGGGACGGCGGAGAAGCCUUAGCGCAACACCUGCUGGACGAAGAAUACCCUUCGGGCUGGAGGGCUCCGAAGAUCCCAUACUACAAGGGCGACACAGACCCGGAGGACCACCUACACUCGUUCAAGACCAACAUGGAAGACAGGACGAGCAGAAAGGACAUCUGGUGCCGUAUGUUCC
rnacentral:lncRNA from 1 species